GGUGAGUUCUUGGUACCUUGGCAACAAGAAGGUGGGCCCAGGAACAAGGUCUCAGUCCGA
ensembl:miRNA Mir7220 microRNA 7220